rnacentral:rRNA from 1 species
UGGGGAAUUUUGGACAAUUGGGCGAAAGCCUGAUCCAGCAAUGCCGCGUGUGUGAAGAAGGCCUUCGGGUUGUAAAGCACUUUUGUCCGGAAAGAAAUCCUUGGCUCUAAUACAGUCGGGGGAUGACGGUACCGGAAGAAUAAGCACCGGCUAACUACGUGCCAGCAGCCGCGGUAAUACGUAGGGUGCAAGCGUUAAUCGGAAUUACUGGGCGUAAAGCGUGCGCAGGCGGUUUGCUAAGACCGAUGUGAAAUCCCCGGGCUCAACCUGGGAACUGCAUUGGUGACUGGCAGGCUAGAGUAUGGCAGAGGGGGGUAGAAUUCCACGUGUAGCAGUGAAAUGCGUAGAGAUGUGGAGGAAUACCGAUGGCGAAGGCAGCCCCCUGGGCCAAUACCGACGCUCAUGCACGAAAGCGUGGGGAGCAAACAGGAUUAGAUACCCUGGUAGUCCACGCCCUAAACGAUGUCAACUAGUUGUUGGGGAUUCAUUUCCUUAGUAACGUAGCUAACGCGUGAAGUUGACCGCCUGGGGAGUACGGUCGCAAGAUUAAAACUC